rnacentral:rRNA from 1 species
AUUGAACGCUGGCGGCAUGCCUAACACAUGCAAGUCUAACGCGUGGCGGACGGGUGAGUAAUGUAUGGGAAUCUGCCCGAUAGCGGGGGAUAACUACUGGAACCGGUGGCUAAUACCGCAUACCAUCGGAUGGCCCCAUAUGGGCUUAGCUAGUAGGUGGGGUACAGGCUCACCUAGGCGACGAUCCCUAGCUGGUCUGAGAGGAUGACCAUGCACACGGGAAAUGAGAAACGGACCAGACUCUUACGGGAGGCAGCAGUGGGGAAUAUUGGACAAUGGGCGAAAGCCUGAUGCAGCCAUGCCGCGUGUAGGAAGAAGGCCUUAGGGUUGUAAAGUACUUUCAGCGGGGAGGCGGUACCCGCAGAAGAAGCACCGGCUAACGACGUGCCAGCAGCCGCGGUAAUAC